AAUAGAAAAUUCUACAUUACUUUAACUGCUUUAUACUAAAGAAAUUGCGAACAAUCAUACACUUAUCGUCAUACCCUACAAUUAAUUUUCAGAGCGCGUUAAUAAAUAUAAAUCCAUAAUGCUAAUUUUCUAGCCUGUUAUGUCAACUAUUUUUCUCAUUCAGCUUUUUCAUUGACACUCAACGACACAGAUUGAGAUCUCGUUUGUUACAAGUGCUCGCAGAGAUUUGUUCAGUGAGUUUAUAGUAGUUGGCCCGCCGUAGCAGAAACAUUCUAUGUGUCCGCAGAGAAGGCUACAAAAUGAGAUCGCUGCUGGCCUCAGCGAAAGCGAGGAUGCGAUACUAACGUAGAGUGCAAACCCAAGCACUUUGACUUGGGCACAUGUUGUGCCAACUCAGCGAAAAUGCAAGCUCAUAUCAUCAAAAGGAGGAGAGGCAAGGAAGCGAGAUUAAGCCCUUGUUCGACAGCUGGCAACGUAUAUCAUACGUAAUACACGUACAGUUCGUAACAUGGAGGAGCAAUGUAUCGAGGAAGUGCGCUCCGAAAGAACAUUUUUAUUUAUUAUACAGUUCCGCGCAUGAAUAAAUGAUUACGAUGAUGAAAUA